rnacentral:rRNA from 1 species
UACGUAGGGCGCAAGCGUUAUCCGGAAUUAUUGGGCGUAAAGAGCUUGUAGGCGGUUUGUCGCGUCUGCUGUGAAAAUCCGGGGCUCAACUCCGGACUUGCAGUGGGUACGGGCAGACUAGAGUGUGGUAGGGGAGACUGGAAUUCCUGGUGUAGCGGUGAAAUGCGCAGAUAUCAGGAGGAACACCGAUGGCGAAGGCAGGUCUCUGGGCCACUACUGACGCUGAGAAGCGAAAGCAUGGGGAGCGAACAGG